rnacentral:rRNA from 1 species
CAGCCGCCACGGGAAUACGAAGGGGGCUAGCGUUGCUCGGAAUGACUGGGCGUAAAGGGCGCGUAGGCGGAUGGCACAGUCAGAUGUGAAAUUCCUGGGCUUAACCUGGGGGCUGCAUUUGAUACGUGUUGUCUAGAGUGUGAAAGAGGGUCGUGGAAUUCCCAGUGUAGAGGUGAAAUUCGUAGAUAUUGGGAAGAACACCGGUGGCGAAGGCGGCGACCUGGUUCAUGACUGACGCUGAGGCGCGAAAGCGUGGGGAGCAAACAGGAUUAGAUACCCGAGUAGUCCCUGUCUCUUAUAC